rnacentral:rRNA from 1 species
UGCGCAGGCGGUUAUAUAAGACAGAUGUGAAAUCCCCGAGCUUAACUUGGGAACUGCAUUUGUGACUGUAUAGCUAGAGUACGGCAGAGGGGGGAUGGAAUUCCGCGUGUAGCAGUGAAAUGCGUAGAUAUGCGGAGGAACACCGAUGGCGAAGGCAAUCCCCUGGGCCUGUACUGACGCUCAUGCACGAAAGCGUGGGGAGCAAACA